UCAAAACAGCGGACUUCGGUCCUUGCUGCACCCUUGUCUUUUGCGCACCGUAUUGUUUCCUCGGCGGGCUUGCCUGCCGGUUGGACAUUAUCAAAAACCUUUUUGUAGUUGCAAUCAGCGUCAGAAAAACAAUAAUUAUUA
rnacentral:misc_RNA from 1 species